GGAUGUGAGGGCGAUCUGGCUGCGACAUCUGUCACCACAUUGAUCGCCAGGGUUGAUUCGGCUGAUCUGGCUGGCUAGGCGGGUGUCCCCCUCCUCCCUCACCGAUCCAUGUGCGUCCCUCCCGAAGCUGCGUGCUCGGGCGAAGAGGACGACCUUCCCCCCCGAGGAGAGGACCGGUCUUUGGUCAAGGGUAUACGAGUAGCUGCGCUCCCCUGCUAGAACCUCCAAACAAGCUCUCAAGAAUGCUAUAAAUAAUUUUUCCAACAAAUUUGGAAGUAAAUUCUUAGGCAGAUAUAAUUUAUU
rnacentral:snRNA from 1 species